rnacentral:rRNA from 1 species
UAGGGAAUCUUCGGCAAUGGACGGAAGUCUGACCGAGCAACGCCGCGUGAGUGAAGAAGGUUUUCGGAUCGUAAAGCUCUGUUGUAAGAGAAGAACGGGUGUGAGAGUGGAAAGUUCACACUGUGACGGUAACUUACCAGAAAGGGACGGCUAACUACGUGCCAGCAGCCGCGGUAAUACGUAGGUCCCGAGCGUUAUCCGGAUUUAUUGGGCGUAAAGCGAGCGCAGGCGGUUAGAUAAGUCUGAAGUUAAAGGCUGUGGCUUAACCAUAGUACGCUUUGGAAACUGUUUAACUUGAGUGCAGAAGGGGAGAGUGGAAUUCCAUGUGUAGCGGUGAAAUGCGUAGAUAUAUGGAGGAACACCGGUGGCGAAAGCGGCUCUCUGGUCUGUAACUGACGCUGAGGCUCGAAAGCGUGGGGAGCAAACAGGGUUAGAUACCCUGGUAGUCCACGCCGUAAACGAUGAGUGCUAGGUGUUGGGUCCUUUCCGGGACUCAGUGCCGCAGCUAACGCAUUAAGCACUCCGCCUGGGGAGUACGACCGCAAGGUUG